GUACCGCGGGAGCGGAGUGAAAUAGUACCUGAAACCGUGUGCCUACAAGCCGUGGGAGCGUCGGACAUCAAGCUUGCUUGGUGUCUCGUGACUGCGUGCCUUUUGAAGAAUGAGCCUGCGAGUUUGCAGUGUGUUGCGAGGUUAACCCGGGUGGGGAAGCCGUAGCGAAAGCGAGUCCGAAUAGGGCGUUUUAGUAGCACGCUCAAGACCCGAAGCGGAGUGAUCUAGCCAUGGGCAGGUUGAAGCGGCUGUAAG
rnacentral:rRNA from 1 species